rnacentral:rRNA from 1 species
UCUUAUACAAGGCAUGAAGAAGAUGUGCGGCAAGCACGGGAGUUCCUCUCAAAGUUAGGUGAUCUAAGCCAAACUCUGAUUUUUGCCAAAAUUGAGAAUGUAGAGGGCUUGAACCAUUUUGAUGAGAUCCUGGAAGAAGCAGAGAAGUCUGCUCUGCACAAGUGCAACAAGGCUGGAAAGCCUGUUGUUGUUACUCGUGUUGUGGACAGUAUGACGGACAACCUAAGGCCUUCUCGUGUGGAGGCAACUGAUGUGGCACAUGCAGUGUUGGACGGUAGUGAUGCCAUUCUCCUUAGUGCUGAGACUCUCCGUGGGUUGUAUCCAGUUGAGACUAUGUCAACAGUAGGCAGAAUUUGUGCUGAGGCUGAGGUCUUCAACCAGGAUUUGUACUUCAAGCGAACCAUGAAAUACGUGGGAGAACCCAUGACCCACUUGGAGUCUAUUGCUUCCUCUGCAGCAAGACAAUCACUCAUAGUUAGAGGCCUCUUUCCCAUGCUUGCUGAUCCACGUCACCCGACAUCUUUGUUCUGA